rnacentral:rRNA from 1 species
ACGCUCGACACCUACGGGACAGCAGUAGGGAAUCUUCCACAAUGGACGCAAGUCUGAUGGAGCAACGCCGCGUGAGUGAAGAAGGUUUUCGGAUCGUAAAGCUCUGUUGUUGGUGAAGAAGGAUAGAGGUAGUAACUGGCCUUUAUUUGACGGUAAUCAACCAGAAAGUCACGGCUAACUACGUGCCAGCAGCCGCGGUAAUCUGAGCGGGCUGGCAAGGC